rnacentral:rRNA from 1 species
UAGGGAAUCUUCGGCAAUGGACGGAAGUCUGACCGAGCAACGCCGCGUGAGUGAAGAAGGUUUUCGGAUCGUAAAGCUCUGUUGUAAGAGAAGAACGAGUGUGAGAGUGGAAAGUUCACACUGUGACGGUAUCUUACCAGAAAGGGACGGCUAACUACGUGCCAGCAGUCGCGGUAAUACGUAGGUCCCGAGCGUUGUCCGGAUUUAUUGGGCGUAAAGCGAGCGCAGGCGGUUAGAUAAGUCUGAAGUUAAAGGCUGUGGCUUAACCAUAGUACGCUUUGGAAACUGUUUAACUUGAGUGCAAGAGGGGAGAGUGGAAUUCCAUGUGUAGCGGUGAAAUGCGUAGAUAUAUGGAGGAACACCGGUGGCGAAAGCGGCUCUCUGGCUUGUAACUGACGCUGAGGCUCGAAAGCGUGGGGAGCAAACAGGAUUAGAUACCCUGGUAGUCCACGCUGUAAACGAUGAGUGCUAGGUGUUAGACCCUUUCCGGGGUUUAGUGCCGUAGCUAACGCAUUAAGCACUCCGCCUGGGGAGUACGACCGCAAGGUUG